rnacentral:rRNA from 1 species
CCUAGGGCGGCUGCAGUGAGGAAUAUUGCACAAUGGGGGAAACCCUGAUGCAGCAACGCCGCGUGGAGGAUGACGCAUUUCGGUGUGUAAACUCCUUUUAUGAGUCAAGAAAAUGACGGUAGCUCAUGAAUAAGCACCGGCUAACUCCGUGCCAGCAGCCGCGGUAAUACGGAGGGUGCAAGCGUUACUCGGAAUCACUGGGCGUAAAGGACGCGUAGGCGGGAUGUCAAGUCAGGUGUGGAAAUCCUAUGGCUCAACCAUAGAACUGCACUUGAAACUGGCAACCUAGAGUAUGGGAGGGGGAGAUGGAAUUAGUGGUGUAGGGGUAAAAUCCGUAGAUAUCACUAGGAAUACCGAAAGCGAAGGCGAUCUCCUGGAACAUUACUGACGCUAAGGCGUGAAAGCGUGGGGAGCAAACAGGAUUAGAUACCCCCGUAGUC